GUAGCCCGACCAGGUCAUCAUAAGAAAAUACUGCCAAAUCUUUCCGAAAUGAGAGAAGGAGGGAAGGCGCGCUACAACUAA
rnacentral:rRNA from 1 species